AACGCACCUUGCACCUUUUGGUAUUCCGAAAGGUACACCCGUUUGAGUGUCAUUGUAAUCUCACUCCUUCAACUUUGUUGUUGCUGGAUGUGGACUUGGACUCUGUCGUGUUACAACGACUGGUCUGAAAUGCCUGAGUGCACCCUGCUGUUGCAGCGUCUUCAGUGUGAUAAGCAUCUUCACUGAUUCAAGUUCCUUCGGGACACGUAGCAUUGUGGGCUCUGUGCUGACGAACCGUCUUUGGACAAUCUUUGACAAUUUGACCUCAAAUCGGGUGGGACUACCCGCUGAACUUAA
rnacentral:misc_RNA from 1 species